CUUGUUACGACUUCACCCCAAUCAUGAGUCAUACCUUGGGCCGCUGCCCCCCUUGCGGGUCGGCGUGCAGACUUCUAGUACAACCCACUUUCGUGAUGUGACGGGCGGUGUGUACAAGGCCCGGGAACGUAUUCACGCUAUCGUUCUGAUAUAGCAUUACUAGCGAUUCCAGCUUCACGCAGGCGAGUUGCAGCCUGCGAUCCGAACUGAGGACGGUUUUUGGCGAUUAGCUCCCCCUCGCGGGUUGGCAGCGCUUUGUACCGUCCAUUGUAGCACGUGUGUGGCCCUGGACAUAAAGGCCAUGAUGACUUGACGUCAUCCCCACCUUCCUCCAACUUAUCGCUGGCGGUCUCCUGAGAGUUGCGCCUUGCGGCAUGCCAACACAGGACAAGGGUUGCGCUCGUUGCGGGACUUAACGCAACAUCUCACGACACAAGCUGACGACAGCCAUGCAGCACCUCGACUCCAG
rnacentral:rRNA from 1 species